rnacentral:lncRNA from 1 species
UGCUGUAGUAUUCUUUUUGUUAGGAUUUAGUACUCUUGCUUGGCUCAAACCAAACUGAUUCUGCUGUAGUAUUCUUUUUAUCAUGCCAGAGUACUUUGAUUGAUCUACUGGGCUCAAACCAAACUGAUUUUUAGAGUAUACUCCACGGUACUCCAUUUCAGAGCACAUUCUUGGAGUGGAUCUGCAUUUCAAAAAGUUUACAAGUGGGAGUACAUGGAGUACUACAGUUCAAAUCGAGGAGAAGAUGGUGCAUGCUCCGUGAUGAUGCCGCCGUCACCUACGACUUCCUCGACCACCACCACCACCACCACGACUUCCUCGAACAUGGUGAGUACUGAGUACUCCUCCAAUGCUUGUACUCCUAUCAAUGUUUACUGCUGUAAUCAUGGGGUACUUAGCUGCUGUAAUCAUGGCCGGAGUAAUGCAACAUUAGUUGGUAAGAAACAAUGUCAGUAUGAAACCUCUCUACGGUAACUAUUUUUUCUGUCAGGAACAGUACAAGGUUUCAGCUUUAUUUGCCCCAUUCCAUGUUUUGAAAUCAUUACCAAAUCGUAUGAAGCAUGGUAACAAUGUUCAAGCUGAUUCGGUGAAUCUGUAGGCUAAACUCUAUAUCUUACACCUCAAUGUGUGUUCCCCAAAUAUUCAGCAUUGCAAACAAACAAAUAAAAUAAAAGAUUCACUAUGGAUGAUAGUGUAAAACAAUAUAUCAUAUUUUUUUUUCCUGGGAGCAUCAUGGACCAACUUGUCAAUGUAACCUCUAUUGUAUACUACAUCUACACCCCUGUCAAUGAACAUGUGCACUAUUGAACUACCUAUGCAUCUACAUCUCUAUGAAGAUACAUAUACAACAGCAUCUUGGAUGAAUACUAUUUAUAAGGGGUCUACUUCAGUAUACACACCUUAAGUGAGUCAAUGGUGGUGAUUAAAACUUCCAUAGAACCAAGAUAAGCCUUCCAUAGAACCAAGAUAGCAUUAUCUCUCAGAUUAUCUCUUUGGCCAUUUUCUCUCUUUAGGAGAAGCACACAAAGCAGAUUUUACAAUUCAUUUCAGAUUCCACUUACACUCUACUGGGUAACUGGAAUUUGCUACUCCAAUAAGUAACAAACCACUAACUCCAUCUAAAAUUUGCAUAGCCACACUGAGUUAUAUAGAUUCCAAAUUGUAAUUAGCUACCUUGAACAAUCAUCAUUCAUGCAUGCAUAUUAUAUUUUCAAAAUUGACAUUUUCAUUCAUUUGUGGCACAAAUUUCAUGUACCAUGUAUAUAUAUACGUACAGUUCCGCGCAGCCACCAAUUGCCUGCUUGAUGCAAACCUCACGCACCUCCAUCAUCCAUGCCUCUAUUUUAUUCCUCCAUCACCCAUCAUCGCCCGGGCUGGCGUACAAUCUAGAUUUGUAACAAUAGGAAGUGGAGGAAAGGGGAGGUGUGGUUUGAAUGUGGGUGCCAGUAAUGUAUUGCACUUACAUAAUGUAUUCUGCAAGGUUUUUGAGUCGCCGCGAGCCCUGCGGCUCGGCGUAUAGUCGACGAAAGUCGCUAUAUAGUCGCCAUAAGUCGCUGUAUAGUCGCGAGUCGCCCUGAUUUUUGGAAAACGACUUGGCGAUUAGUCGGCGACUAUACAGCGACUAAUCAGCGACUCAAAAACCAUGGUAUUCUGCUUACCCACAUCAGCCAACAAAAAUAAGAAAUUGUAUCACCAGGUGUAGGUAGUAAAUAUUAAAUAGGUAGAAUAUUUUUGACAAGAGAUAUAGAAAACACAAGAAUGUACGGUGAACAAUCAAGAAAAUAUUAAUGGACCUUGUGCUUUAGAGUGGCAUGCUUCCUCCAUAUCUUCUGUAAUGAUAUAUCCCUGAUACAAGCACCCCAAGAACUGAGAAUUGGUGUGCCCACAAUGUACAUUCCCAACAAACAUAGCGCGGUUCUGUUAGUUAAAGAGGUAAAAAUACUAAGAAUUCAUACAUAAGAGCAAGCCAAAUUGGAUGCCAGGAGCGCUGUGGAACUCCCUCAUGGCUUGGUGCAAACUGUAAGUGUCCCUAAAAUAGGCACUCGAGUGUCAGGCCUACAUUAUUUUCUAUGAAAGGAAUUUGAACAUCUCACAACAUAUUAAUUUGACAUAGCUUUAGAUAGCAACUCAGUGACCUUUUUCUUGAAUGCAAAGGGUUAAUUAAAAUUGCUUAAAAUUGCAGUUCUUGGAGUAGUAGAACAGGUUGCUUGAGAAAAAUUAAGACAUGCCCA